GUCCUUCUUACUUUACUUAAAUGGAAAUGAAAUGGCUUUCACUUAUCCUUCUUUCAUUUUAUCUUACGUUCAUCCAUUUUAUUCAUCACGGUCUUACACAUACAAGGAAGGCUGAGAAUAAGCAGUUAACAUCCUUGUCAAUUUCCCGGGAGUUCCCGCGAUUUUAUCUACAACUGAGAUUUAAUUAUUUGUCGUCUUUUGAUAUUUUUUGUGAGGAACAC
rnacentral:lncRNA from 1 species